GGACUGGUAGCUCAAUUGGUAGAGCGAGCGGUUUGGGACCGUCGAGGUCGUGAGUUCGAAUCUCACCCAGUCCC
rnacentral:tRNA from 1 species